AGAAAUAAGAAAAAAUAUCGAAUUCAAAAGAACUAUAGUCUUCAAUAUGUGUGAUCUGUAUACACAAAUGAAAAACAAACAGAUCGUUGACAGAAGAAAAAAAC
rnacentral:sRNA from 1 species